rnacentral:rRNA from 1 species
UACGAAGGGGGCUAGCGUUGUUCGGAAUUACUGGGCGUAAAGCGCACGUAGGCGGAUAUUUAAGUCAGGGGUGAAAUCCCAGAGCUCAACUCUGGAACUGCCUUUGAUACUGGGUAUCUUGAGUAUGGAAGAGGUAAGUGGAAUUGCGAGUGUAGAGGUGAAAUUCGUAGAUAUUCGCAGGAACACCAGUGGCGAAGGCGGCUUACUGGCCCAUAACUGACGCUGAGGUGCGAAAGCGUGGGGAGCAAACAGG